UACGAAGGGGGCUAGCGUUGCUCGGAAUCACUGGGCGUAAAGGGUGCGUAGGCGGGGCUUUAAGUCAGGGGUGAAAUCCUGGAGCUCAACUCCAGAACUGCCUUUGAUACUGAAGAUCUUGAGUCCGGGAGAGGUGAGUGGAACUGCGAGUGUAGAGGUGAAAUGCGUAGAUAUCCUGAGGAACACCGGUGGCGAAAGCGGCGCGCUGGAUCCCUUCUGACGCUGAGGCGCGAAAGCCAGGGGAGCAAACGGG
rnacentral:rRNA from 1 species